CACGGGGGGAACGGAAGAACCUUACCUACCCUUGACAUCCUGCGAACCCGUCGGAGACGACGGGGUGCCUUCGGGAGCGCAGAGACAGGUGCUGCAUGGCUGUCGUCAGCUCGUGUUGUGAAAUGUUGGGUUAAGUCCCGUAACGAGCGCAACCCCUGUCCCUAUUUGCCAGCACGUAAAGGUGGGAACUCUAGGGAGACUGCCGGUGACAAACCGGAGGAAGGUGGGGACGACGUCAAGUCAUCAUGGCCCUUACGGGUAGGGCUACACACGUGCUACAAUGGCAGGUACAAAGGGCCGCAAGACGGCGACGUGGAGCGAAUCCCAGAAAGCCUGCCUCAGUUCGGAUCGGAGUCUGCAACUCGACUCCGUGAAGUCGGAAUCGCUAGUAAUCGUGAAUCAGAAUGUCACGGUGAAUACGUUCCCGGGUCUUGUACACACGC
rnacentral:rRNA from 1 species